AUGCUUAGGUAUCGCUAUGAGAUGCAUACCUUUUAUGUCAUGCUUACUGUUUACUCGUGGGUAAGUCUAAUCGGAAAAGUGCUAAUAUUUCCAACAAUCCAAAAACCUUAUUUUAGGCACUUUUCGAUUCAAAGCUUUGCUGCUACUCUGAAACCGGAAAAGUUUACCGGGACGGAUUUUAAGCGUUGGCAGACUAGGACCACCUUGUGGCUCACAGCGAUGAACGUGUUCUGGGUUGGUGGUGUGUCCCUCACAGAAACGAUUGCUCCUGAACAGGAGAAGGCGUUUAGGGAGGCAACCACAAUCUUUCUGGGAGCAGUUCUGAGUGUGAUUGGAGACAAGUUGGUUGACGCCUAUAUUCAUAUGGGGGUUGCCAAAAACUUAUGGGAUGCGCUCGAAGUCAAAUUCGGCGCAACUGAUGCUGGCAGUGAGCUGUAUGCCAUGGAGCAGUUUCAUGAUUACAGGAUGGUUGAUAAACGUUCUGUAUUGGACCAGGCUCAUGAGAUACAGUGCAUUGCUAAGGAGCUGGAGCUCUUGAAGUGUGAGUUACCGGACAAGUUUGUCGCGGGUUGCAUUAUUGCAAAACUCCCUCCUAGCUGGAGGAACUUUGCUACUUCUCUCAAGCACGUGAGACGUGAAUUCUCUGUUGAGGAUGUUAUCGGUCAUCUCAGUGUUGAGCAGAACUCGAGAGCAAAUGACUCACACGUGAAAGGGGCAGAGGGUUCUUCUAGCGCCAAUGUGGUGCAGAAGAACUUCCACAAGUUCAAGGGAAAGAACUCUGUCCAGCAAAAUACUACCUUUAAGAAGAAGGGUAAGAAGAAAGACAAAAAGAGAGAUGGUUGCUUUACUUGUGGUUCAGAUGAACAUUGGGCAAACAAGUACAAGAAGCCAGCACAUGACUCCAAGUGUGUGAAUGUCACUCUGAGCAACAAUGAUGCGGCAUCUGGGUCGCAUGAGAUUGUUCCGUCCUGA
rnacentral:rRNA from 1 species